UUUUUUUUUUUUUUCCCCACUCUCUUUCCCCCCAGUUGUUUGUGGUUUUGCUUGAAAGGGCAUUAUUAACUCCUUCACCUCCCAGCUGGAAAGGGCUCUCUUGGCUAAGCUAUUUUAUGUAUUUCUGGAGCAAAAGAAUAAAGUGCUGGAUUUCAAAAACACAGACUCAAAAAAGGGGAGCAGUGAUGGAAAAGAUUUUACGUUGAAACUGCUACUGUAGGAUAACCCCAGCUAGUCAAGCAGAGCUCCCAUUAUGGAUUUACAGGAGCCCUCACCACUUUUGCAAGGCACAGGAUGAGACCAUGCCAAGCUGGUGCUCAAAAGCAUCGAUUUAAGGGGCAGAAGGUGAGAGGUUUGGUAAAAGCAUGGCAGGAGGUGACAGUCCUGGCUGGUCCACUCCAUGCUGCUGCUGGACAGGGCUGGCACCCCUCCCUGGCACAGCAUGUGCACAAAGCCUUGCUUUUGGGUGAAAAACUGGGAAUUCUGGGCUUCCUUGCUGCCUAACUACAAAAAAAGGCAAAAGGUGCACUUUUGCACAGGGACUGUGUUCAGUGCCAUGUCACACCUCCCUGUGGCUGAGCAUGAAGUCCUCAACACACCAGGGACACACAUAAAUCGUGGGAAAAGCUGAGAAAUGCUCGCUGGAAGUUUUAAAACAUAGAGGAUUAAUUUCCCCUGUUGUCCAUACUAGAUGAGGGACUGGGAAGUUGGCAUUUAAACCAUUUUUUCCCCUUCCUCACUCCAGUUGCAGCUGCAGACAGUGGGUAUGGUCUCUCUCCCGUGGGGAGGCUGGGCUGGGUGCUCAUGUCCACACCUGCACUGCUCCAAGAGCUUUCCCAGCUGAAGUCCUGGAGCUUCGAGGGAAUGCUAGAAACAGAGAUGACUUCAAUAUUUGGCAGCUGAUAGGAUAAGUUAUCUUUUCCCUUUUAAAUAGAAUAUGUUAUGCAAGCAGGUUUUAUUAUAAUUACAUUAUUUCUGUAGAUUAGAAAAUAAUCUUCUUGGAACCAAUAUGCAAAUUUAGUAUUUCUUGCUAUUUGUGAAUUAAACAACACAGCAUUUCUUGUAUUCCUACUCAAAGCCCAUGAAAAAUCCCCUCUUAUAGUUGCACACCCUGUGGUAAUUAGCACUUAGUAUUUUUCCUUUUUAGACUUUAAAAAAAAGCAUUUUAAAACAAGUGCAUUUUUUUUCCAGGUUUCUCCCCAGUAUGAUUGCUGUUUCUGAAUGUUUCUAUGCAUGUUAGCAUGUAUGUUUGUUUUGCCUGUUAGUUCAGUUUUGUAGAACAAAUGGAGAAAACGAAAAUAUAGAUUUUUAACCGCAACAAGAUUCCCUGCAGACAGGAUUUUUUCUGUACAGCUAUAGAAAUGCAGCAGCUCAGAGGAAGAGCACAGCAUGUAAUUCUACAUACAUCACAGCCCUUUUUUAUUACUCUUACCACAGCAGCUGAAUGAAGAAUUACAAAAACCAUGUCCCUGAUUCUGUAAAGAUUUAAAAAAGAGGCUUAACUUUAGGCAUACAGGUAACUUCAAAGGGAGUUAAGUGAAACUAGAAGAUGUGAGUAUUUCAUGACAGAUGCAUGCAUUAGAGAAAAUGAUCUGUACAAAACUUCAUCCAGAAGUUCUGGAAUUAUGUUAAUUGACCCUGGAGAGCCAAACAAAAACUCGGUCGAAAUUAUUUUCAGAAUUUAAACCCAACACUUUUGCAAAACACAUCCCAGUGUAAUGGAUAUUGCUAUGAUUGCAUAUCCGCUGGUUUUCUAUAGGCAAAGGGUGAAAUCCCAGCACUGCAGAAGGGAGUGGGAGCACUGCCAUUGAUUUUACUGAUGCCAGAAUUUUGCCCAAAACACUAAUGCUUCCUCUGGCUCUGAGUUUUCUUCUACCAACUCUGACAUUGUUUUCUGCACCUCUGCUGUCACAUUGCAUGGGGUGCAAGAGCCCUUUAAAAUUAACAGUGGGCUUGAGCUGCAGAGGAUGGAUCAUUGAUCAAACCUCUGAAUGCAUCUGACAGAGUUUAAUCAGGUGUUUGAUUCCAGCCCUCUGCACAGACACCCCUCUUCCCACACUCUCAAUUUUGUUGGCACACCUGUUGUGACCCAGGUGGGCAAUUUUGUGCAUUUAGCAAAUCCCGGCCUGGGGGGGCAAACUAAGCAUCAAUUUUAUUUCCCCAUGAGGAGCAAGCUAUGUCAAGUACUGCACAUCACUUUAUGAUCAUGCUAAAGCCACUGCGACAACAAGCCACCUCAGCAAGCUGUCAUUUUAAUGUUUGAUCCGUUUUCUUUUCGUGUGUGUUUGCUCCACAUUUCAGUGAAGCCUCAUCUCCCCUGCCCACCGCCAUCGGCUACGAGGCUGCAGCAAAGCAUGUCACAUACAAUGAACCAGGAAAACUCCACACAAAACCUUCUGAUCACUGGCUUCCAGAGGAAAAUUCCCUCCUGGCCAGAAGGAGAGGAGGACAAGUGAGACAGUGAGGUGGCACCUGCAUGGGGGCAGCAUUCCAGCAGCCAGGAGCGUUAUCCUGGUGGUUUUCUGCGGGACAGGGAUGGGGUCCCCCCUCUGUGCCUCACUGCCACAGCUCUGCGGGAUGCCCCUGCCCGUUUAUCACUUCAAACCAAGCUGAACAGCUCCACUGUAAUACUGCAAAUUACAGGCCUUCUAGAGCAUAAUUUUAAAGGACUUAGACUUGUGUUGUCUUUUAGCUUUCUGUUCAUCUAGCUAGUUAAGGUUCUGAAGUCCUAAUCUAGUUCCCAUUAAGACAAAGAAAAGGAUUCCUUUCUCUGUGAAAUGUUAUACCCCAGGAAGCCAAAAACGUUGGUGUCUGCCUUAGACAUGUAUAUCUUACUGGCAUUAACAGCUCAACCUAUAGAUUUUUCUUCAUCAGUGGGGAAGUUUUAUUCUUAUCCCCAUUUUACAGGAUGAAAUCUCUUAUCCAGCAAAGUAUGUGAGCAUGUGCCAGUUUCAACAGAGCUGGUGGAACCUUUCCAGGAUAGACAGCAUUUGCCAAAAGUGCAAUUUGAAGUGGAAAACUAUUCACAAAUUCUGGUUGAAUGUAAUGCAGAGUUUUGUCAGAAAGAAAAUCAGGGGAAAUACUUUUCUCGGGGAAGUUUAAAUGUUUCAUUUCAGUAUUUUCAAAAUAAACUAUAUAAUUUUCACCUUUCUUAUACCACUUAGUUUUCAAAAUUAACCAUUUUACUUCAUUGCUGUUUUGAAAAUAAUCUGGUCAAUUGAAUGUUAGACUUCUCAGUAAAAGAGUGAAUUGUCGCUGCUCAAAGUUUCAUUUUGAAGUUUUGAAAUGAAGGGUUUGCUCAGCUAGAAUAUUUUUUGGUUUAAAUUUUGGGUUAAAAACAAUAUGAAAACUUCCAUUCUAGAUCAGGCAAUGCAAUCUGGGCUGACCCAAAAUGAAACUUUGGGGGGGCUUUUAUGUCUGUUCUGCUGACACUUUGUGUGUUUCAGGUUGAACCUCACCUGAAUCAUUUUUGCAGUUUGCUGUUCAGCCACCAGCCCGAAGGGAACACGUCCGUGCAGCUCCUGCUGGAGCAGUUUCACAGCUCUAUUGUUUUCCCUUGACUCCUGUGAAACUACCUGUGCUGGGAGUCAGCCACGUGGCUUUGAGUCUCCCUGAAUCGAUGCCCAAACAAACUUCGGGAAGUCAAACCAGGUGAUGGGCAGAGCCCAGCAAGGAGCCCCAGAAUCCUGGCUGGCUCUUUGCUGCUCUGAGCUCAGGACCCUUCUUAUCCUCCAGGUUUGCAGAGCUCCGUACAACACAUCUGGCUUAAGAGGGAAGGAUGGGGGCUGAAAGGGGAAUUAUUUUCUUUUGGAGCUUUCAGUGCUUAUGACCCAAAUUGGGGAAGUGUGUAAGCUGAAAGAAAUGCCUGGGUGGAUUUGAAACUGAGAUCAGGGCUACAUUUUUCAGUGGUUCUUAUAUUAGUUUAAAAUGUUCUUUUCCCUCUUAUGAGCAUAACUUCCUUUAAAUAAAUACACAGAUAACUUCUCCUAGUUGCCAAGAGUUUUCCCAUCCUCUUAUAAUAGCUCCUCAUAAUAAUGCAAAAUAAGCAAUAAAACAAAAAUGAGUUGAAAUAAUUUUGCAACGACUACUUUAACAAUUAAUCUGCUCAGGGAACAGCAGGAGCAACAAAGACAUAAAUUUAAACAUGUACCUCUAAAUAGUAUAAUUACCUUUUAAGUUUCAAACUGUACACAUGAAAAAGAAUUCCAACCAGCCAAGAGAAAAGGAAACAUGAUCCAAAGGAUGCUUGCUACACACCAAAAUAUUUUCCACCAAACUAAGUUUUAUGAACUGCCCAAUGCCAGUGAUAUGUAUCUGCAGCUCACUCACUCUGCCUUAAUUUGUUGCUCUGUGUGACAAGUGGUAGUCUGAUCCAGCCUGACAUGCCAUGGUAUGCACAGCACACAUAUAUCAUGAUAAGACAGUUGAAAACCAAAGACAAACAGCCCCAAAGAGAGAGCUAAACAGCAUGAUCCAGCAGCGGCCUGCAUCCAUCAGAGGGAGGGUAUUUGGGAUGGCACACCUUCCCCUUGCAAGUAAAUAAAUACUGAUUGUGUGCUACAGUGGGAGUGAACGAGAUAACACAGUGUUCCCAUGGACAGCCUCGUUUCUUCUCCUCCGUGUGUAUCAGUUACAUUCUUUUUAAUGACAUCCUUUUUUAUCAGUGUAGUGAAGAAACAGAGUGUCCUGGACUUGUAAACCCCACUGAAAUGAGAAGAUGGAAUCACUUGCUGUUCACUGGAGAAGGAGACAAACCCAGCUGCUGCUGCUGCUGCUGCUGCUGUAACACAAUGCUCUGGCAGUGAAGAUCUUCUGUUCUUUAUUACAUUGGUAAAAGCACCAGGAAUUCAACUGGCUUCAUUUCUGGCCAAUUUCAGGUUCCUCUUUUAAGGACACAAAAUAUUUCCAGGCUAUAACUGAAGUGGUUUGGUUGUCCAGGAUUCCUCUGGCGAAGAGGAUGAGCUCUUCAGUGUUUGAGGUUCUGAGAGGAGCUACUGCCCAGCUGAAGCAAUGUUAGUUGCACUUCCAUUGCUAAAAAACUCAGUAAGAAACAAGUGACUUUUUGUCAUUUAUUGAAUGAAGGUGUUGGUAAUUAUGACAAAGAGCUCACUUUGAAGGGGUAGUUUUAAGAUACCACAACAAAAACACAUAUCUCAGAUAUCACAUCUGAGGUGUUUCUGAGGCUCUGGGAUGCAGGUGUUUACAGCAUUACACAGGUCUGAUUUUCAUGACUAGAAAACUGACACACACUAACACAAUUGUUUUUAUCACCUUUAUUUGGGUCACAAAAAUUAUAAAAAGCCAGGGAAAACAUGGCAGUAAUUUGUAAUUAAUUUUUCAGUGUUAUUUUUGUAAAGAAUGAUAUUUUGACCAAGUGAAAGCUGUCUUCACUUCGGUCCCUUUGAGUUCAGCAUUGCAAGGUUCUAGCUGAGAAGCUGAGAACUUCAGUUUAUCUUAAAGUGCUCUUAAAGCUGUGUCUGUGGUGUUGUACUACCUCACUUUGAGGAACUGGGAUGAAGAACUGGGUGUGUGCUGCAUCUGCUUAGUGUUUCUACAGACUGUGCAGGAUGAUCACUCGUCCAGAAAGAGACACUUUCCACUCUACAUGAACAUCAGUGGAAAUGCAGAUAGUUUCAGAGCAGUUCUCUUUUUAUCAUAGUAAAGUGCCAUUCCCUAUGGACCUGCUCCAAAGCCUGAUCGUGUCAAUGAAAGGACUCCCAUUGAAUUCAGUGUGACUUGGAGUGGUUCCUAAAAAUGGGAACAAAGCAGCAAGCUUCAUAAAUCUUCUGAUGUGGUCCUUAAAGUGAGAACUCAGACCCCAUGGGGCAAAGGUUUGUGAUUAGAAAUACAAUUUGGCCUCUCAUUCUUCCUGAGCUGAGCCAUUCAGGUCUCACUGAAGAUUCAUUCUUUUGGAAAUAUCAUAUGCCAGUCAGCACGAGGGAUCAUUGGUCUGUUAAAUGCUACAUUAUGCCUUUUACUUUUCAUUAUGAUAUGAGAUUUGAUUAAGGCAGUCAAUGACCCUGUGCUUAGAAGCAGAAGGGAAAAAAAA
rnacentral:lncRNA from 1 species